CACCCGAUGUCUGAAAGAAAGUAUAGGUCUUUUAAACCUAUUAUGGUAAUCGCCUACCUCUGGUGA
rnacentral:tRNA from 1 species